rnacentral:rRNA from 1 species
UAAACAACCUGCCUUCAGGAUGGGGACAACAGACGGAAACGACUGCUAAUACCGAAUAAGUUCCAAGGGCCGCAUGGCCCAUGGAAGAAAAGGUGGCCUCUACCUGUAAGCUAUCGCCUGAAGAGGGGUUUGCGUCUGAUUAGCUGGUUGGAGGGGUAACGGCCCACCAAGGCGACGAUCAGUAGCCGGUCUGAGAGGAUGAACGGCCACACUGGAACUGAGACACGGUCCAGACUCCUACGGGAGGCAGCAGUGGGGAAUCUUCCGCAAUGGGCGAAAGCCUGACGGAGCAACGCCGCGUGAGUGAUGACGGCCUUCGGGUUGUAAAACUCUGUGAUCCGGGACGAAAAGGCAGAGUGCGAAGAACAAACUGCAUUGACGGUACCGGAAAAGCAAGCCACGGCUAACUACGUGCCAGCAGCCGCGGUAAUACGUAGGUGGCAAGCGUUGUCCGGAAUUAUUGGGCGUAAAGCGCGCGCAGGCGGCUUCCCAAGUCCCUCUUAAAAGUGCGGGGCUUAACCCCGUGAUGGGAAGGAAACUGGGAAGCUGGAGUAUCGGAGAGGAAAGUGGAAUUCCUAGUGUAGCGGUGAAAUGCGUAGAGAUUAGGAAGAACACCGGUGGCGAAGGCGACUUUCUGGACGAAAACUGACGCUGA